GGAGUUGACCAGACAAUCGCCGCGCUAGAUUGCUAGUGGGGAGGAAAGUCCGGGCUCCAAAGGGUAGGAUGCCAGAUAACAUCUGGGCGGUGAAAACCGACGACAAGUGCAGCAGAGAGUAGACCGCCUUGCUACCUUUUUAGUACUUAGUAAUACACCAGGGUAUUAAACUGAAUACUAAAAAGGUAGUAGGGUAAGGGUGAAAGGGUGCGGUAAGAGCGCACCGCGCAUCUGGUAACAGUAUGUGGCGAGGUAAACUCCAUCCGGAGCAAGACCAAAUAGGAUUCCAUAAGGCGUGACCCGCGCUGGAAUCGGGUAGGUUGCUUGAGCUAACGAGUGAUUGUUAGCCUAGAUGAAUGAUUGUCCACGACAGAACCCGGCUUAUCGGUCAACUCACCUC
rnacentral:RNase_P_RNA from 1 species